rnacentral:rRNA from 1 species
AACGAACGCUGGCGGCAGGCCUAACACAUGCAAGUCGAGCGCCCUUUCGGGGGAGCGGCGGUCGGGUGAGUAACGCGUGGGAAUAUGCCCUUCUCUACGGAAUAGCCUCGGGAAACUGAGAGUAAUACCGUAUACGCCCUGUGGGGGAAAGAUUUAUCGGGGAAGGAUUAGCCCGCGUUGGAUUAGGUAGUUGGUAGGGUAAUGGCCUACCAAGCCGACGAUCCAUAGCUGGGUUGAGAGGAUGAUCAGCCACACUGGGACUGAGACACGGCCCAGACUCCUACGGGAGGCAGCAGUGGGGGAUCUUAGACAAUGGGGGCAACCCUGAUCUAGCCAUGCCGCGUGAGUGAUGAAGGCCUUAGGGUUGUAAAGCUCUUUCAGCUGGGAAGAUAAUGACGGUACCAGCAGAAGAAGCCCCGGCUAACUCCGUG